CCCGUACUCGCUUCGUGAUCCUCCCUGGAUUGCGGCCCCUCUGAAACCUGAGGCAUCCGUGAUCCCGCGGCUCUGCCCUCGCCCGCAGACUUUGCCCCGGUGUCCACCGUGUAAUUCUGAAUGGAUGUAGGUGUGGCCCUCCCCUCUCUUCCCUCCAGUCUCCUGCCCCAACUGCCCACCCCCAAAGAGGCCAAACUUUUUUUUUUUCUUAAAACAUGUUUACUCCAUUUAACCCAGAAACUUCACAAUCAAGAGGUUGCCCUGUCCAAAUCCAGUGGCCCCUUGCCACGUGGAACACUUGAAAUGGAGCUAUCGAGCACUUGAAAUGCAGCUAGUCCAAGAUGAAAUGUGCUCUCGGUGUCAAAUCUGCACUGGCUAUUGAAGACUAAAUCCAGAGGAUAUAAAACAUCUCAAAUUUUAUAUUGAUGACAUAUUGAAAUGAUAAUACUUUGAAUAAAUAAGUGUGUUAGUUGUUCA